UUGACAAGCAUCAAACGACUAUAUCAUAACUUCAGUAGGUCUUAAAAUAACUAGCAAAUUAAUGGAAUAGAAAUUGAGUGUUUUAUUACCUUGAAAGGAUUUUAGACACACAACCAUGACUAACGCGUAACUGACGUGAUAUGUCACAUGGGCGGACACCAUUGUGGGCCAGCUCCACAAUACGCUGACGAACGACAUCGGGAAGUGGGCGACCAUUAACGAAUACGCCACCAAGUUGAUUAACGCCUCCAUGACCUAAUUAAGAGAAAUUAAGUGGAGCUAUGAAGCACAAACACAUUUGGGACUGGAACGAGCAAGCCAGCGGCCACGAAAUCAACCAAUAGCCACAAAGAAGGUCUGGCAUCGUGUGCAACGGCGCCAAUCACAGCACACCUCCCUGCCCACUCCAUUAACAUGUAGCCCCUGUGUAUUUCGACAUCUCUUUCUCACUCUUGCAUAACACGCAGCCGUUUCUUUGCAACACUCCGAUACCAACCCAAUUAAAUUUUAUAAAUAAUUUCAUCUUUGUAAAAUCAUAAAUAGAACUAAUAAGUUUUAAAAAUGUAUUCAAAAAUAACGUAAUAAAUGUAACCUAAUUCACCUUUCCGACUAUCUGGAUAAAAA